UGAAUGAUUCAGAAAUGUUCUUGAUAUAUUGGUCCAAAUUCUGCCCUCCAUGCUUGAUCGUCAUCUGUAAUUGUGUUUUCAGCAGAAUCUUCCCUGUAUAAUGGUUGCAAUGCAGAUUCUGGUAAUCUGCUUUCUGCUAGGAACAAGAACAACAGCAAAUCAGUAAGAAUCUCUUCUUGCAGAAAAUUGCAUCAGGAAGCCCAACAAAUCAGCAAGAAUCUCUUCUUGCACAAACAUUUGACGAAUGAGCCAUUUGUACGGUUAGAUGCCCAAUUAACCCAAAAAAGGAAAAGAAAAGGAAAGUAUUAAUACUUGUGUGCUUCUGUGUAUGUGUACACUUUUAUAUUUCUGUAUGUGUACACUUUUACAUCAAGUGUAAAGUAGGAAACCUGUCUCAUGCUCAAUGUUGUAGCGAAAUCAUGCUGUAAAGAAGUGAUUGAUGAGACAUUAUUAACAGAAUUGUUGCAUUGUAUUUGAA